rnacentral:lncRNA from 1 species
AAAAAUCAACUGUAUGGCAUUUAUUUUUAAAAAGAUUCAUUUUAUUUGUGUGAGUACACUGUAGCUGUCUUCAGACACACCAGAAGAGGGCCUCGGAUCUCAUUACAGAUGGUUGUGUGCCACCAUGUGUUUGCUGGGAAUUGAACUCAAAACCUUUGGAAGAGCAGUCGGUGCUCUUAACCACUGAGCCAUCUCUCCAGCCCCCUAUACCUGCCUUUUUAAAACAAUUUACUGUUAGUGUAUAUAAAAGUUACUUAUUUUUUUAUGUUGAUUAUGUGCCUUGCAUAUUUUUCCUACUAAUUUAUUUAUUCACUUUACAUACAUACCAGUGGAAGCCCUCUUUUUCCAUUUCUCCAAGUUCCACCCUCACAAAUCCCUUCCCCCCAUUAAUCCUUCCCUUCUCCUCAGAGAAGGGAAAGCCCCCUUAUGUUCCAACCUCCCUGGGAAAUCAAGUUGCAGCAGGACUAAGUAUCCUCUCUUUCAGAGGCCCAACUAGGCAGUCCAGGUAGGGGAAGAGGAUUCAAUGGCAUGCAACAGAGUUAGAGACAGCCCCCACUCCAGUUGUUAGGGGACCCACCUGAAGUCCAAACUGUACAUCUGCUACAAAUGUGUAGGGUUUCCUAGGUCUAACCUCUGCAUUCUCUUUGCUUGGUGGUUCAGUCUCUGUGAGUCCUCAUGGGGCCAGGUUAAUUCACUGUAAGUUUUCUUGUGGUGUCCUUUACCCCUGAGAGUUGCUCAAUCUUAUCUCCAAGUCUCCCACAUGAGUCCCUGAGCUCCACCUAAUGUUUGACUGUGGGUCUCUGCAUCUGUCUCCAUCAGCUGCUGGAUGAAGGCUCUCUGGAAACAGUUAUGCUAGGCUCCUGUCUGCAAGUAUAACAGAGUAUCAUUAACAGUGUCAGGGGUUGGCUCUUCUAUGGGAUGGGUCUCAAGUUGGGGCAAUUAUUGUUGGCCACUUCCUCAAUCUCUGCUCUGUCUUUAUCCAUGUACAUCUUAUAGGUAGGAAAAAUUGUGGGUUAAACGUUUUGUGGGUGGGUUGAUGUCCCUCUCCCUCCACUGGAAAUCCCAUCUGGCUACAGGAGGUGGCCACUUUAAUCUCCAUAUCCCCUGCUGCUAGGGGUCUCAGCUAGGGUCGCCCCCAUAGACUUUGGGAGCCUCCCCCUUCCCAGGUCUCUGUCUAGUCCUAGAGAUAUCCUCCACACACACACACAAUUUCUGUUCUCUUCCCCCCCACCCCAUCCUUGUUCUCUUCCUCAUCCCCUCUCCCACUACUCACAUCCAUUUCAUUUCCCCUUUUUCCCUUGGGUCCUCCUUUUUACUUAGUUUCUUUGGGUCUGUGAAUUGUAGCAUAACUAACUUGUACUUAAUGGAUAAUGUACAUUAGCUAUAUAACACAUUUGUAUGUGUAUACGUAUAUGAAUCUAUAUCUAUAUAUCAUAUUGAGGUUUGUUCCAUCUGUUCUAAGACUCUUCGGAGC